CCCUUCUCAGGGUCGCACCUGGAGAGUUUCCAGUACUCUACCAGUCACGACCAAAGGAGGGAGAGUCAAGCAGAGACCUGUCCAUUCCAUUCCUAGAUUGGCCAGUGGCUAGCGAGUGGAAGGCAAUCUGCUACCAGU